GUACUUCUGAAGAGUCCCAAACUAGGACGAAAGAACCGUCCAGUAC
rfam:Trichobilharzia regenti genome assembly, scaffold: TRE_scaffold0005259